GCGCUAUUGGAUGAGCCUACGUCGGAUUAGCUAGUUGGUGGGGUAAAGGCCCACCAAGGCGACGAUCCGUAGCUGGUCUGAGAGGACGAUCAGCCACACUGGGACUGAGACACGGCCCAG
rnacentral:rRNA from 1 species